CAAAGCGCCUAUAAUGUCUAGAAAUUGCAAAACUUGCAUUUUCGCGCCAUAGGAACCUGAAAAAGAGAAACUUCUACAGAUUAAAAUAAUAAUGAAGCAACCAGAAUAACUUUGACUUCAGAAAACCAAACCAAUAAAAAAAGAAUGGCAUGUGAACAAAAGAUUCACAGAUUACUGCCAAUUAUAUAUUCAACAAAAAUGGCGCAAAUCAUCCCGAAAGAAUCAAGCAGCUUUACUCCCACGUCAACACAAUUUAGAAAAUAAUUGAGGAAAGGCAAUGCCAAGACAGACAAUUGAAUUCAGCAGUUUUUGAGGUAAAUUCCUUAACACCCUCCCCCCACCCAAGAAAUAAAAACAAAGUAAAUAAAUGAAGCAGAUAGUUGUAUUAUCAUCUCUUCCAGGACUCCAGAUAUUCCACUAACAGAACAAUACUUCAAUGCUUUCAAAUGAACUAGAGGCACUUGCCACUCCAAUGCAAAUUGUAGCUGACUCAUUGCCUGCUCAUGACCGAAUUGACCUGCAUGGGCUACAAGAUCCCAUGAUUCUCCAUAGGUCUCACUGAAUAGGAGAUUAUUUGCUGUUUUUAUUUUUUAUUAAGAACCAAUAUUAAUGAGAUCAACAUAUCACAGUUCUGAUUUAAUGAACAUAAAAAAACUACGAUCACUUGCCAAGGAAAGUACUUAAAAAGGAAAAGGAGGGAUUAAGGGAC